GACGAAUGCUGCAAGCCUUCUCCGGAAUUAUUGGGCGUAAAGAGUACGUAGGCGGCUUGUCAAGUCCCGGGUUAAAUCACGCAGCUUAACUGCGGAUCGGCCUUGGAAACUGGCUUGCUGGAGUGUGGUAGGGGUAGCGGGAAUUCCUGGUGUAGCGGUGAAAUGCGUAGAGAUCAGGAAGAACACCUGUGGCGAAAGCGCGCUACUGGACCAUGACUGACGCUGAGGUACGAAAGCUAGGGGAGCAUAAGGG
rnacentral:rRNA from 1 species